UACGAAGGGUGCAACCGUUGUCCGGAAUUACUGGGCGUAAAGCGCACGUAGUCGGCUUUGCAAGUCGGGUGUGAAAUCCCCGGGCUCAACCUGGGAACUGCAUCCGAGACUGCAUUGCUAGAGUAUGGGAGAGGGAAGCGGAAUUUCUGGUGUAGCAGUGAAAUGCGUAGAUAUCAGAAGGAACAUCAGUGGCGAAGGCGGCUUCCUGGACCAAUACUGACGAUCAGGUGCGAAAGCGUGGGGAGCAAACAGG
rnacentral:rRNA from 1 species